ACUGUCCCUAGAGGCUUUGCAGGUGAAACUGCUGUGCCACAUGUGCGUGUCAGUGGGUGGCUGAAAGGAAGAAGGCUAUGUCUAGCUAGGUGUUCUGACUUGUAAACAUCAGAAUGAUUGGUAGCUAGCUGUCUUA
ensembl:snoRNA small nucleolar RNA SNORA17